CAGCACCUCAAGUGGUCAGGAUGAUUAUUGGGCCUAAAGCAUCCGUAGCCGGCGCUGUAAGUUUUCGGUUAAAUCUGUACGCUCAACGUACAGGCUGCCGGGAAUACUGCAGCGCUAGGGAGUGGGAGAGGUAGAAGGUACUCGGUAGGAAGGGGUAAAAUCCUUUGAUCUAUUGAUGACCACCUGUGGCGAAGGCGGUCUACCAGAACACGUCCGACGGUGAGGGAUGAAAGCUGGGGGAGCAAACCGGAUUAGAUACCCGAGUAGUCC
rnacentral:rRNA from 1 species